rnacentral:rRNA from 1 species
GGGGAAUAUUGCACAAUGGGCGCAAGCCUGAUGCAGCAACGCCGCGUGAGGGACGACGGCCUUCGGGUUGUAAACCUCUUUUGGCAGGGAAGAAGCGAAAGUGACGGUACCUGCAGAAAAAGCACCGGCUAACUACGUGCCAGCAGCCGCGGUGAUACGUAGGGUGCAAGCGUUGUCCGGAAUUAUUGGGCGUAAAGAGCUCGUAGGCGGUUUGUCGCGUCUGCUGUGAAAACCCGAGGCUCAACCUCGGGCCUGCAGUGGGUACGGGCAAACUAGAGUGCGGUAGGGGAGAUUGGAAUUCCUGGUGUAGCUGUGGAAUGCGCAGAUAUCAGGAGGAACACCGAUGGCGAAGGCAGAUCUCUGGGCCGUAACUGACGCUGAGGGGCGAAAGCCAGGGG